GGACGGGUGGCUGAGUCUGUUUAAAGGCGCCUCACUUGAAAUGAGGCAAUGCUCCUCACAUUCCAGGGUUCAAAUCCCACGGACGUUUC